rnacentral:rRNA from 1 species
GACGAACGCUGGCGGCAUGCCUAACACAUGCAAGUCGAGCGAGUUGAUUCCUUCGGGAUGUAGCUAGCGGCGGACGGGUGAGUAACACGUGGGCAACCUGCCUCGUAGAGGGGAAUAGCCUUCCGAAAGGAAGAUUAAUACCGCAUAAGAUUGCAUCUUCGCAUGAAGAAGCAAUUAAAGGAGCAAUCCGCUAUGAGAUGGGCCCGCGGCGCAUUAGCUAGUUGGUGAGGUAACGGCUCACCAAGGCGACGAUGCGUAGCCGACCUGAGAGGGUGAUCGGCCACACUGGGACUGAGACACGGCCCAGACUCCUACGGGAGGCAGCAGUGGGGAAUAUUGCACAAUGGGGGAAACCCUGAUGCAGCAAUGCCGCGUGAGUGAUGACGGCCUUCGGGUUGUAAAGCUCUGUCUUCGGGGACGAUAAUGACGGUACCCGAGGAGGAAGCCACGGCUAACUACGUGCCAGCCGCCGCUGUAA